GACAGCGCAAAAGCCGCGAGGCUCGCACCACACAGGAUGUUUCUGCACGUCUUUCUUCGCGAGCGGGCUAAGGUCUGAGGAUUCUUGUCCCCACGAUCGACUCUAGCUGGGUCCGGUCAUCAUAGACUGAGCGACGUACCAGCAACACAGUCUCUGCACCUCCCUCCGACCGAGCUCUGCUCCUCGGAUCCCGUAGACUCGCCAUUAUACAGACCGGCGGUCUGCUGGUGAUGAGGGAUAGUCACUCAGCAAGUUUGCUAGUGGCGCAAGAGAUCAACCGGGACUUUGGGAUCCGUCGCGGGGACUGGGCAUAUCAUGCGUCUCCGCCGCAACUCUCUACCGUGUUCGUUCGUUCAGCCCUGUCGUUGGACGCCCUCACAUUGGUAUGCACUGCUCCAUAAUUUGGUGUGAACGCCCGAGGAGUCGAGACGGCGUGUAUGUUUUUCAGUGCACUUCGCGGCUCGCAUGAAGGCCUUCGGGUCUUGCGAAACUCGAUUCAGACUACUCUUGUGCUGGC
rnacentral:RNase_P_RNA from 1 species